rnacentral:rRNA from 1 species
AUACGGAGGGUGCAAGCGUUACUCGGAAUCACUGGGCGUAAAGCGCGCGCAGGCGGGCUGAUAAGUUGGAUGUGAAAGCCUACGGCUCAACCGUAGAACUGCAUCCAAGACUGUCAGUCUAGAGUGUGGGAGAGGAAGAUGGAAUUAGUUGUGUAGGGGUAAAAUCCGUAGAGAUAACUAGGAAUACCAAAAGCGAAGGCAAUCUUCUGGAACACUACUGACGCUGAGGCGCGAAGGCGUGGGGAGCAAACAGGAUUAGAUACCCUAGUAGUCC